rnacentral:rRNA from 1 species
UACAUAGGGGGCAAGCGUUAUCCGGAAUUAUUGGGUGUAAAGGGUGCGUAGACGGGUGUUUAAGUUGGUUGUGAAAUCCCUCGGCUCAACUGAGGAACUGCAACCAAAACUGGAUAUCUUGAGUGUCGGAGAGGAAAGUGGAAUUCCUAGUGUAGCGGUGAAAUGCGUAGAUAUUAGGAGGAACACCAGUGGCGAAGGCGACUUUCUGGACGAUAACUGACGUUGAGGCACGAAAGUGUG